UAGAAAAGUAAUGCUCACUGUUUGUAAU
rnacentral:sRNA from 1 species